GAUGAACGCUGGCGGCGUGCCUAAUACAUGCAAGUCGAGCGAACAGACGAGGAGCUUGCUCCUCUGACGUUAGCGGCGGACGGGUGAGUAACACGUGGAUAACCUACCUAUAAGACUGGGAUAACUUCGGGAAACCGGAGCUAAUACCGGAUAAUAUAUUGAACCGCAUGGUUCAAUAGUGAAAGACGGUUUUGCUGUCACUUAUAGAUGGAUCCGCGCCGCAUUAGCUAGUUGGUAAGGUAACGGCUUACCAAGGCGACGAUGCGUAGCCGACCUGUGAGGGUGAUCGGCCACACUGGAAGUGAGACACGGUCCAGACUACUACGGGAGGCAGCAGUAGGGAAUCUUCCGCAAUGGGCGAAAGCCUGACGGAGCAACGCCGCGUGAGUGAUGAAGGUCUUCGGAUCGUAAAACUCUGUUAUUAGGGAAGAACAAAUGUGUAAGUAACUAUGCACGUCUUGACGGUACCUAAUCAGAAAGCCACGGCUAACUACGUG
rnacentral:rRNA from 1 species